rnacentral:rRNA from 1 species
CCUACGGGAGGCAGCAGUGGGGAAUCUUGGGCAAUGGGCGCAAGCCUGACCCAGCAACGCCGCGUGGGUGAUGAAGGCCCUCGGGUCGUAAAGCCCUGUCAGAGGGAACGAACGAGCCUGGAGCGAAUAGUUCCAGACUUUGACGGUACCCUCAGAGGAAGCACCGGCUAACUCCGUGCCAGCAGCCGCGGUAAU